rnacentral:rRNA from 1 species
CCCUUAGAUGUUCUGGGCCGCACGCGCGCUACACUGACGAAGUCAGCGAGCAUGUCCUACGCCGACAGGUGCGGGGAAUCUUGUCAAACUUCGUCGUGAUAGGGAUAGAUUAUUGAAAUUAUUAAUCUUGAACGAGGAAUUCCUAGUAAACGCAGAUCAUCAAUCUGCAUUGAUUACGUCCCUGCCCUUUGUACACACCGCCCGUCGCACCUACCGAUUGGAUGGUCCGGUGAAGCCUCGGGAUUGUGGUUCUUGCCGCUUUAUUGUGGCGUGACCGCGAGAACUUGUCUAAACCUUAUCAUCUAGAGGAAGGUGAAGUCGUAACA